rnacentral:rRNA from 1 species
AUGCGUUGGCGUGAUGAGGGUCGUACAAAAGAUGGAUUGCUGCGAUGUCCAGCUGAUGGAGAGGCUUGGAAAGAUCUUGAUGCCAGAUAUCCUAAAUUCGCUGAGGAUUCCCGUAAUGCGCGGCUAGGCGUUGGGUCUGAUGGGUUUAAUCCUUUCCAACACAUGAGUGCAAAACAUAGUACUUGGCUAGUGAUGCUUAUUCCAUACAACCUACCACCUUGGAUCUGCAUGAAGCAAAGAUCUCUAAUUUUAUCAAUGAUUAUUCCUGGACCAAGUUCCCCUGGAAAUGACAUUGAUGUAUAUUUGCCGCCGUUGGUGGAUGAGCUGCAACAACUUUGGAAGGGUGUGGACACUUUUGACUCAUGUACUCAGGAGAAAUUUUCUCUUCGAGCUGCACUAUUAUGGACUUUGAAAGAUUUUCUAGCAUUAGCUUACCUCUAUGGGUGGAGCACGAGCGGUAAAUAUGCUUGCCUGUCUUGUGGUCCUUUCACAAGAUCAUAUUGGCUAAAGAAGAGUAAGAAAUUUUGUUAUAUGGGUCAUCGCCGAUGGCUACCACAGAAUCAUGUAUUUCGGAGACGAAAGAAGGAGUUUGAUAACACCGAAGAGAUGGAACUUGCACCUAUAACAAUGAGUGGUAGCUCAGCUUUGAGAAUGUUGCAGGGCAGAGUUUUUGUCUUAGGAAAAAAGAUUGUUGUGGCAAAGAAAGGGAAAAGGAAAAAGAAGGGCAAAGACAGUGAAAAAGGAACUGAAGGUCCUGAAAAACAGAAGCGUAAAAGAGUGCCUAACAAGAAAUUAGGUAACGUUGCACGUAAACUUGAAAAGAAGCCUGAGGAUUGUUUCAAAAAGAAGUCGAUAUUUUUUGAUUUGGAAUACUGGGAGCACAACAAGUCAAGGCACAAUCUAGAUGUAAUGCAUAUUGAGAAAAAUGUCUUCGAAAAUUUAAUUCGAACCUUACUGGAUAUUUAUUCUAAAACAAAGGAUGGCCUUAAUGCACGACUUGACUUAGGAGAAAUUGGAAUUCGAUCUAGCCUUCAACCUCAUGAAGGUGAUAAGGGUAAAACUGAAUUGCCGCAUGCACCUUUUAAUAUGUAUAAAGAAAAGAAGGAGAUUCUUUGUAAAGUGGUUAAGAAUUGUAGGACACCUGAUGGUUGUGCAUCAAACUUUUCGAGGUGUGUGAACAUGAAAGAAUUGACAUUGACUGGCCUCAAAAGCCAUGACUGCCAUGUUAUUCUACAAGACAUCCUUCCUGUGGCACUUUUACACUGUUAUCCCAGUAAAGAUGUCAUGAUAAUAGUUGUUGAGCUGGCUAAUUUCUUCAAGAAGCUAUGCUCCAAAGUGUUAGACGUCUCUGAGCUUGACAAACUGCAAGAGAGUAUUGUGAAGACACUUUGUAAUAUGGAAAAGGUUUUUCUUCCAUCGUUUUUUACUAUCAUGGUACAUUUAAUGGUGCAUUUAGUUGAAGAAGCUAAACUUGGUGGCCCGGUGCAUUACAGGUAG